UUUUAGGCAAAACAGGGAACUUUUGGCAACUCGAUCUGGCAGCACUGGCGGCAGUACCAGUUGGAAGGCGAGCGUGCGAGCAGGCGCGGUGUUGUGUGUUCCUCAGUGCAGGGCAAGGCUGCGGGUGCUCUCCCCCAGGGCAGUGUUUGAUGGUGCCCCUGGGAUUAUGAGUGAGGCAGUGACAUCCGCCCCUGCCCCCCGCCCGCUCCCUCUCCCCCAAGACCCUUGAGGCCAGGUCGUUCGGUGGUGCAUCACAGCGUCACAGACUCACAGAGGGUGCGUAGCUGAGGCAGCGACGCGUGGACGGCGCUGAUGGCGGCCAGAACCUCUUGGGCGUCUUGGUCACACACGGCCAGGCGGAGCCCCCCCAGGCCCCGGUACUCCUGC